rnacentral:misc_RNA from 1 species
UGGUUCUGGCAUCGAUGAAGAACGCAGCAAAAUGCGAUAAGUAAUGUGAAUUGCAGAAUUCAGUGAAUCAUCGAAUCUUUGAACGCACAUUGCGCCCGCCAGUAUUCUGGCGGGCAUGCCUGUCUGAGCGUCAUUUCAACCCUCAGGGCCCGUUCGCGGGACCUGGCGUUGGGGAUCAGCCCUACGGGGCUGGCCCUGAAAUCUAGUGGCGGUUCCCUCGCGACCUCCUCUGCGCAGUAGUGAUACCUCGCAGCUGGAUAGCGUCGGUACCACGCCGUAAAACCCCCUACUCUUUAAGGUUGACCUCAGAUCAGGUAGGAAUACCCGCUGA